CAGUCGCCACGGGAACACAGAGGGUGCAAGCGUUAAUCGGAAUUACUGGGCGUAAAGCGCGCGUAGGUGGUUUGUUAAGUUGGAUGUGAAAUCCCCGGGCUCAACCUGGGAACUGCAUCCAAAACUGGCAAGCUAGAGUAUGGUAGAGGGUGGUGGAAUUUCCUGUGUAGCGGUGAAAUGCGUAGAUAUAGGAAGGAACACCAGUGGCGAAGGCGACCACCUGGACUGAUACUGACACUGAGGUGCGAAAGCGUGGGGAGCAAACAGGAUUAGAUACCCGCGUAGUCCCUGUCUCUUAUAC
rnacentral:rRNA from 1 species